rnacentral:piRNA from 1 species
UUUCGUGAUUUUGUCGUUUAC